rnacentral:rRNA from 1 species
AUUGAACGCUGGCGGCAGGCUUAACACAUGCAAGUCGAGCGGAGAUGAGGUGCUUGCACCUUAUCUUAGCGGCGGACGGGUGAGUAAUGCUUAGGAAUCUGCCUAUUAGUGGGGGACAACAUUCCGAAAGGGAUGCUAAUACCGCAUACGUCCUACGGGAGAAAGCAGGGGAUCUUCGGACCUUGCGCUAAUAGAUGAGCCUAAGUCGGAUUAGCUAGUUGGUGGGGUAAAGGCCUACCAAGGCGACGAUCUGUAGCGGGUCUGAGAGGAUGAUCCGCCACACUGGGACUGAGACACGGCCCAGACUCCUACGGGAGGCAGCAGUGGGGAAUAUUGGACAAUGGGCGCAAGCCUGAUCCAGCCAUGCCGCGUGUGUGAAGAAGGCCUUAUGGUUGUAAAGCACUUUAAGCGAGGAGGAGGCUACUUUAGUUAAUACCUAGAGAUAGUGGACGUUACUCGCAGCAUAAGCACCGGCUAACUCUGUGCCAGCCGCCGCGGUAAAAC